ensembl:lncRNA
UAUACACAUAUGUAUAUACAUACGUAUAUAUACAUAUAUCAGGGCGGACUAACCCGUCCACGUCUUUCUCUGGACACACGGCGUUGGUGAUAAGUUCAGAGUCGAUGGAGGUCACGGAGUCCAGGGGAAGCUGGACUAUCAGACCAUGGACAGACGGGUUCUCAUUGAUGGACAGGAUGUGCUGCAGGACCUGCAGGACCAAAGGGAGUCACCAGGUGGAGUUGUACAGGUGGAGGUAAACAUAUGGAGGUUAACAGGUGGAGGUUAACAGGUGGAGGUUAACGGGUGGAGGUUAACUGCUGGAGGUUCACGGGUGGAGGUUAACGGCUGGAGGUUAACGGGUGGAGGUUCACAGGUGGAGGUUAACAGGUGGAGGUUCACGGGUGGAGGAGUGUCACUGACCUCUUCCUGCGUUGUGGUUUUCGGUAAUCUCAGAUGUUUCGCUUCGAUUCCAAUCUGCAGAUGAGAAAAGAGUUAAUUGAAAAACAUUCUCUGUAGCGAUGAUGAUGAUGAUGAUGAUGAUGAUGAUGAUGAGCCACCCGUUGAUGGAUCAAUGAAAGGAGCCGUGGUCUGAUUGGUCCUCACCUCAGCUGCAGCUCGUAGCUUGGAGCUGAUGUAGAGGUUUG